AAAAUCAUUAAUAGUAGUGUUUUAAAAUCAUAGGAUCAGGGACAAAGUCAAGAUGGUGGUGUAGAAACAGCAAAAGUUCAGAACUCUGAAAACCCUUCCUUAUAGAUCACAAACUGAAUGCUCCUAGGGGACUGAAAAUCAAACCUAACAACAAGACAGAACUAAGGAACCCUCCUGCUGGACACAAUCCAAAAGGGCUGACAUCUGGAAAAAAAGAAAAAAAUUCAUGGAAUUCAGAAGAUCUUCUCUGGAGUGGUUUUAACAAGUAUCUUAAGGAAAUUUUAGACUACAAAUAAAACUAUUCAAGCAAAGA
rnacentral:lncRNA from 1 species